AAUUUAAGACAGCCGCCAUUUUGUGUUUUCGUCCGCCUUUUCGCGGUGUGAUAAUUAAAUAGAUGAUUAUAAGCUGUAUGUGAUGAUUUAUUAUAUGUAUUAGUGUUUUUGUGUUUGAAUAUGUUUUUAAUCUUAUAUUUACGCGUUUGAAACUUAAUUCGUAAAACAUUAUAGGUAAUUGGAUCUCACAGCUGCAACAAUGAGUGUCAUCAUUAGACUACAGAACCUUCCAUGGUCAGCCAACGCUCUGGACAUUAGGAACUUCUUUCGGGGCCUUUCUAUUCCCGAGGGUGGUGUACACAUCGUAGGAGGCGAACUCGGAGAUGCUUUCAUUGCGUUCAGGUAGCUAUAUGUAACCUUCUCAGAUAUAUACAAAAUACUAAAUAUAUUAUAUAGCCAAUAAAA